rnacentral:rRNA from 1 species
UCCAGACUCCUACGGGAGGCAGCAGUGGGGAAUAUUGCACAAUGGGGGAAACCCUGAUGCAGCGACGCCGCGUGAGCGAUGAAGUAUUUCGGUAUGUAAAGCUCUAUCAGCAGGGAAGAAAAUGACGGUACCUGACUAAGAAGCCCCGGCUAACUACGUGCCAGCAGCCGCGGUAAUACGUAGGGGGCAAGCGUUAUCCGGAUUUACUGGGUGUAAAGGGAGCGUAGACGGCAGAGCAAGUCUGAAGUGAAAGCCCGCGGCCCAACUGCGGGACUGCUUUGGAAACUGUAUGGCUGGAGUGCAGGAGAGGUAAGUGGAAUUCCUAGUGUAGCGGUGAAAUGCGUAGAUAUUAGGAGGAACACCAGUGGCGAAGGCGGCUUACUGGACUGUAACUGACGUUGAGGCUCGAAAGCGUGGGGAGCAAACAGGAUUAGAUACCCGAGUAU